rnacentral:lncRNA from 10 species
CCGUCCCGCCUGCGCGGAUCCCUCCGCCCGCUCCGAGGGUCCGCGGAAAGUAGUCCCGCGCGCCCUCUGCCCUGACGCGGUGUGUGCCAGCUACCCGAGUGAAAGGUUUUCGGGGGAUUAAUCCUGAUGGGGUCUGCGGCGGCCCUUGCCCAGCGCCUUCCACAUGUGGAGCGGGCCAGUGGUGCUAGUUCUGCCGCCAACUCUGGACGGUUGAGUUCAGGGCCACUUUUUACUCAGGCACGGAUGUGACAGAAAGAUGGAAAAGGGUCUUGGAAGAACCACAUGUGCCGUAUAACGAACGACCUUUUGGUCUGAGGAGGACCGUGUAUAUGACGGUGGUCCCAUAACAUGAUAACGGAGCUGGAAACUUCCUGUCCUCUGGUGAGGGCUUAGCUAAGGACAUUUCCUCUCCUGUAUUUGGAGAUACACGUACAGGUGGAUCUGAAGCAGUGCUGCCUUAGUCUCCUUGGACUCUCAGCUCCAUUUCCUCAGCUCAAGUAGUCCACUGGGCUCUACCUCAGUUCUGCCUCCUCUUGCUGUGGCCUAGAAAUUCUCUCUGGAUAUCAGAAAACAAAGGACAGUAAUCCCUGCCAAGAUGGGAUACAAACAAGACCCUGUGGACACAGAGUGACAGCUGAGUGCAAGUGUCAGUGAAGAGACCUAGAUUGUGGGGACUUUCCUGGCCUGGCAGAGAACCUUGUGUCUGCUCACGGGAGAAGGAAAGAACAAUUCCUCUGCAGAACUCCCAUUAUGGAUUCAUGGGUAUACUUGGAUGGUGUCUGACCGAGCUCCACGAAGGCAGGGAAGUACCUUCCGUCUUUUGUCUUCACAACCAAGCCCAGAGCCCCUGCAGGCAGCCUCCCUCAGCACAGGCACGUGGCGGAGCACUCCGUGGCUCCUGAUGUCCAGGGCCCAGCUCCUGCCAGGUUGUGGAGGGCCGUCGGCAUGUCACCCUCUCACUGAUGCUGGGACCUGAGGCUGGGUGCUGGAGAAGUCUAACGGGACACAAUUUCAAAGCACUUUGGCUUAUUUAAAAAAUCUCCACCUUCAUGUUUCAAGAAAGAAUUCUUGCAGCAACAAUGAAAGAAGCACCUACCACUACUGUUGACUCCCACUGGCUUCCAGUGGAGUAGUGAACCGGACCCAGUAAGUCCUUGCAUAUUUCUCGAAGUCGGUAUUCAAACCCUAAUUACAGAAAAACAAACAAACAACAACAACAAAAAACAAAACAGAAAUAGGAACACAUUACAAAAAGAAAUAAAAUCAAGAAUAUGUUGUUGUGUCUAUCAAAUC